UACAGUAUUUACAGAGCCUACCUUGAGGCACCCACUGAUGGAUAAUCUGUUUACCUAAAAACAGCCCACCACAAUCCAUGUUUACCAGCUGUGGAAGUGCAGGUCAAAAAUCUUCCUUCACCUGUGGGCCUCUUCCCACAUGUAGAUAAGCACUUCAGGAGAAACCUGCCUGUGAUCUGCUAAGAUGCACAGAUUCAACUCUGGCCCAUUGUCAUCCCAACACCUCAUCUGCCAUCAGUUUCGUUUAGUGUCGGUCUAUUGCAAAAGUUCUUAUAAACUUUAAAUGAGACUUUGUGUUAAGCAGGGGUUUCCAAACUUUUCAUUCCACAUCAUAUUAAGCCCAGGAUACACAGCAGGAUUUUUGCAAUCCAAUAAGACCUUAUCACACUGUGUGACAAGGAUUGUUUAAACUUCAGCAGUAGACUGUCGAUGAAGACACCUAUUGCAUCUG